GAACAGUGGUAACCAACCUGGAGGUCUACCAUCUCAUAGGAUUUCAUCUUAAACAUAAUUUGGCACACUACUAAUUCGCAGUUCAACAAAAUCUAUAGCUGUUGAAUGAGGUGUGCUUUGCUAGGGUUAGAGUGAAAACCUACAGGACGGUAGAUCUCUAGCUGUUGAAUGAGGUGUGCUUCGUUACAGUUGGAGUGAGAUCCUAACAAAGGACGGUAGAUCUCCAGGAUCAGGGCUGGUUACCACCGCGCGACAUGACGUGCGACUCGAAGCCGGAAUCCAAACGAGCCACGGCAGCCAAUCAGAACGCUUGUUCUCACCUCUCCUCAAACUUGAUCUUGGCUUCCCGCCGGGCUUUACGCUUCAGGGCGGGGUCCCUGAACACGUCCUUGUUGACGAUGGUUUUGUCCAGAGGGA